rnacentral:rRNA from 1 species
UACGGGGGGGGCAAGCGUUGUUCGGAAUUACUGGGCGUAAAGGGCGUGUAGGCGGCCAACUAAGUCGGAUGUGAAAUCCCCAGGCUUAACCUGGGAACUGCAUCCGAUACUGGAUGGCUUGAAUUCGGGAGAGGGAUGCAGAAUUCCAGGUGUAGCGGUGAAAUGCGUAGAUAUCUGGAGGAAUACCGGUGGCGAAGGCGGCAUCCUGGACCGAGAUUGACGCUGAUGAGCGAAAGCUAGGGGAGCAAACGGG